rnacentral:rRNA from 1 species
UACGGGGGGAGCAAGCGUUGUUCGGAUUUACUGGGCGUAAAGGGCGCGUAGGCGGUCGUGACAAGUCACUUGUGAAAUCUCCGGGCUUAACUCGGAACGGUCAAGUGAUACUGUCGGACUAGAGUACAGAAGGGGCAACUGGAAUUCUCGGUGUAGAGGUGAAAUGCGUAGAUAUCGAGAGGAACACCGUGCGGCGAAGGCGGGUUGCUGGGCUGAUACUGACGCUGAGGCGCGAAAGCCAGGGGAGCGAACGGG